GACGAACGCUGGCGGCGUGCUUAACACAUGCAAGUCGAACGAAGUGGCGAACGGGUGAGUCACGCGUAAUCAACCUGCCCUUCAGAGGGGGACCACAGUUGGAAACGACGGCUAAUACCGCAUACUGCAGUGGGGGAUCGCUUCGGAUUCGCUAGUUGGAGGGGUAAGGGCCCACAAAGGCGAUGCACAGUAGCCGGUCGGAGAGUUUGCACGGCCACAUUGGGACUGAGACACGGCCCAGACUCCUACGGGAGGCAGCAGUGGGGAAUCUUCCGCAAUGGACGAAAGUCUGACGGAGCAACGCCGCGUGAGUGAUGACGGCCUUCGGGUUGUAAGGCUCUGUUAAUCGGGACGCGGUACCGGAAUAGAAAGCCACGGAUAACUACGUGCCAGCCGCCGCGGUAAUAC
rnacentral:rRNA from 1 species